rfam:Hordeum vulgare subsp. vulgare, WGS project CAJW01000000 data, contig: morex_contig_168335
GUCAUACUCCCUCUGUCCGGAAAUACUUGUCCUAGAAAUGGAUAUAAUGGAUGUAUCUAUAACAUAAUAAGUCUAGAUACAUUCAUCUUUAGGACAAGUAUUUCCGCAUGGAGGGAGUAUAUG